rnacentral:rRNA from 1 species
AAUGAGCCUGCGAGUUGUGGUGUCUGGCAAGGUUAAGCAAACGCGAAGCCGUAGCGAAAGCGAGUCUGAAUAGGGCGCUUAGUCAGAUGCUGCAGACCCGAAACGAAGUGAUCUAUCCAUGAGCAAGUUGAAGCUAGUGUAAGAACUAGUGGAGGACUGAACCCAUAGGCGUUGAAAAGCCCCGGGAUGACUUGUGGAUAGGGGUGAAAGGCCAAUCAAACUUCGUGAUAGCUGGUUCUCUCCGAAAUAUAUUUAGGUAUAGCGUUGUGUCGUAAUAUAAGGGGGUAGAGCACUGAAUGGGCUAGGGCAUACACCAAUGUACCAAACCCUAUCAAACUCCGAAUACCUUAUAUGUAAUCACAGCAGUCAGGCGGCGAGUGAUAAAAUCCGUCGUCAAGAGGGAAACAACCCAGACUACCAGCUAAGGUCCCUAAAUCUUACUUAAGUGGAAAACGAUGUGAAGUUACUUAAACAACCAGGAGGUUGGCUUAGAAGCAGCCAUCCUUUAAAGAAAGCGUAAUAGCUCACUGGUCUAGUGAUUUUGCGCGGAAAAUAUAACGGGGCUAAAGUAAGUACCGAAGCUGUAGACUUGCGCACAACUUAGAUUAUUUAAGUUUAGAAUAUGAGAAACUAAGUUAUAUUUUUACUGAUUUUUAUAGAGUAAAGAUAGAAAUAAAACUUAGUAAAAUCAGUAAAAAUAUUCUUAGGCUAAAGUUAAGUAGUUUAAGUUGUGUGCAAGUGGUAGGAGAGCGUUCUAUUUGCGUCGAAGGUAUACCGGUAAGGAGUGCUGGAGCGAAUAGAAGUGAGCAUGCAGGCAUGAGUAGCGAUAAUUAAUGUGAGAAUCAUUAACGCCGUAAACCCAAGGUUUCCUACGCGAUGCUCGUCAUCGUAGGGUUAGUCGGGUCCUAAGUCGAGUCCGAAAGGGGUAGACGAUGGCAAAUUGGUUAAUAUUCCAAUACCAACAUUAGUGUGCGAUGGAAGGACGCUUAGGGCUAAGGGGGCUAGCGGAUGGAAGUGCUAGUCUAAGGUCGUAGGAGGUUAUACAGGCAAAUCCGUAUAACAAUACUCCGAGAACUGAAAGGCUUUUUGAAGUCUUCGGAUGGAUAGAAGAACCCCUGAUGCCGUCGAGCCAAGAAAAGUUUCUAAGUUUAGCUAAUGUUGCCCGUACCGUAAACCGACACAGGUGGGUGGGAUGAGUAUUCUAAGGCGCGUGGAAGAACUCUCUUUAAGGAACUCUGCAAAAUAGCACCGUAUCUUCGGUAUAAGGUGUGGUUAGCUUUGUAUUAGGAUUUACUCCGAAAGCAAGGAAACUUACAACAAAGAGUCCCUCCCGACUGUUUACCAAAAACACAGCACUCUGCUAACUCGUAAGAGGAUGUAUAGGGUGUGACGCCUGCCCGGUGCUCGAAGGUUAAUUGAUGGGGUUAGCAUUAGCGAAGCUCUUGAUCGAAGCCCGAGUAAACGGCGGCCGUAACUAUAACGGUCCUAAGGUAGCGAAAUUCCUUGUCGGUUAAAUACCGACCUGCAUGAAUGGCGUAACGAGAUGGGAGCUGUCUCAAAGAGGGAUCCAGUGAAAUUGUAGUGGAGGUGAAAAUUCCUCCUACCCGCGGCAAGACGGAAAGACCCCGUGGACCUUUACUACAGCUUGACACUGCUACUUGGAUAAGAAUGUGCAGGAUAGGUGGGAGGCUUUGAGUAUAUGACGCCAGUUGUAUAUGAGCCAUUGUUGAGAUACCACUCUUUCUUAUUUGGGUAGCUAACCAGCUUGAGUUAUCCUCAAGUGGGACAAUGUCUGGUGGGUAGUUUGACUGGGGCGGUCGCCUCCCAAAUAAUAACGGAGGCUUACAAAGGUUGGCUCAGAACGGUUGGAAAUCGUUCGUAGAGUAUAAAGGUAUAAGCCAGCUUAACUGCAAGACAUACAAGUCAAGCAGAGACGAAAGUCGGUCUUAGUGAUCCGGUGGUUCUGUGUGGAAGGGCCAUCGCUCAAAGGAUAAAAGGUACCCCGGGGAUAACAGGCUGAUCUCCCCCAAGAGCUCACAUCGACGGGGAGGUUUGGCACCUCGAUGUCGGCUCAUCGCAUCCUGGGGCUGGAGCAGGUCCCAAGGGUAUGGCUGUUCGCCAUUUAAAGCGGUACGCGAGCUGGGUUCAGAACGUCGUGAGACAGUUCGGUCCCUAUCUGCCGUGGGCGUAAGAAGAUUGAAGAGAUUUGACCCUAGUACGAGAGGACCGGGUUGAACAAACCACUGGUGUAGCUGUUGUUCUGCCAAGAGCAUCGCAGCGUAGCUAAGUUUGGAAAGGAUAAACGCUGAAAGCAUCUAAGCGUGAAGCCAACUCUAAGAUGAAUCUUCUCUAAGCUCUCUAGAAGACUACUAGUUUGAUAGGCUGGGUGUGUAAUGGAUGAAAGUCCUUUAGCUGACCAGUACUAAUAGAGCGUUUGGCUUAUCUUUAAUAAAGCAU